AACUUUGCAAUGUGCGAAAGCACGACAAGGUUAAUCCGAGGUGGUUUCUGCUAAAGAAACCUUUUGCUAGUCCUAGAAACACUAGUGAAUAAGGGGUGGGCAAGUUCUGGUGUCAGCCGCCGCGGUAAAACCASCACCUCAAGUGGUCAGGAUGAUUAUUGGGCCUAAAGCAUCCGUAGCUCGUUUUGUAAGUUUUCGGUUAAAUCCAUACGCUUAACGUAUGGGCUGCCGGGAAUACUGCAUAACUAGGAAGUGGGAGAGGUAGACGGUACUCGGUAGGAAGGGGUAAAAUCCUUUGAUCUAUUGAUGACCACCUGUGGCGAAGGCGGUCUACCAGAACACGUUCGACGGUGAGGGAUGAAAGCUGGGGGAGCAAACCGGAUUAGAUACCCGGGUAGUCCCAGCUGUAAACUAUGCAAACUCAGUGAUGCAUUGGCUUGUGGCCAAUGCAGUGCUGCAGGGAAGCCGUUAAGUUUGCCGCCUGGGAAGUACGUACGCAAGUAUGAAACUUAA
rnacentral:rRNA from 1 species